GCCUGCGGAAGGAUCAUUA
rnacentral:ncRNA from 4 species